rnacentral:lncRNA from 1 species
UUAGUUCAACAUCUGUGCAAAAUGCAGCAGUAAUCACCACUUUCUUCUAAAAAAGAACAGCUUUCACUGUUCUUCUGUUUAUUCAACAGCUCAUUUCAGAGUUCUCCUUGACACUUAGUUCUCAUGUCUGCCCUAGAGGUUUUGAACACAUUUUUUCCCAUAGGAACAUUUGCCUACACCUAACAUUACGAGCUGCAGCGUGCUGGGAGGGCUGAGCACGCUGCUCUUUCUGUUAGUGGUGUGCCAUUUUGCAGGAAAGAAUAAAACAGUUGUUAGAGUACUAGCAAGUAGGAAGCUGAAACGUGAUCGUUAUGGCAGCCACCUGCAGACAUCCAGUUUCCAGAGCCUGUUGCAGAGACUGAUUAUACAUUUCACUAAGACUGGACAAAGUUGCUUUGCCCUUCAAAACUAAUAUGCAUAAUCUGAUCUAGGCAACUUAUUUCUACACGUUCUUUUUUUCCCCCCAACCUCUCUGAUUUCAUUUGACAGUUUCUCAUUUUUAUUAACUCUCGUGAACGGGUAUCUUCUAAACUCCUCUCUGAAAGCUCAUUUUGAAAGGAAUCCAGACAUUUCAGAACCAUUACUUCCUCCUAUCAGACAGUUGGGUAAAACAAGGAGUUUGGGAAAAUCUUUAAGCCUCAGAUACUGGACAAGAUGUUGUGCAGGCACGAUGGACUAGUCAAGGACUGCUAAAGCACAAAUGUAAAAGCUGGGCUGACCUUUCCCUUCCCAUGAGAAGGUAAGUGGCAGGCAGAGGGCAGGCAUAUUUCCUUGAGCAGCAAGUACUUAUCCCAGGUCAUCCCAGUACCUCAUAGAUGGCAAACACCGUAUUGCAAAUGAAACCACUACAGGGCUAUCCCAACUAGAGGAAGCAGCAGAUAAUCUAGUAUGCUCAAAAGAGCUGGAUAUGGCCACAGAGGGAGGCUUCAGGUCUUAGCUCUUCAUCUUCUGUCAUAGCUCUAGCAUAGCUUGUGUUUCCACUGUGGAGAUUGCGGAGAGUGUUGACAGCAUGGGGUGGAAGAGCAGAUGACAGCUAAAAGAGGACUAAAGUUUCUUUCCCCUUUCAGUCCCAGUAACUCCACAGAUGAAUGUAGUAAAU